UCAAGCAGCAGAGGACAGCCGGUCGCUACCGAAGCCGUGGCGCAUCUAAGCUGCCCCACGCCAGCCGCCGCCGCCUAAUCCCUAGGCCCCGCCCUGCGCCCGCGGCCCCGCCCCCGGCCCGCUUCGCUAUUGGCCAUCCGCUACCGCCAGCCUCUCCCGAUUGGCUAGUGGAUUCAAUGGUUCCCUCAGGAUCUUUCCCCCGCGUUUUGUUGCAGACCACAAUGCACCGCGCACAGCGUCGGUUGCCCGGGCGAUGCGCGGCACGCGUGCGGAGGCCCACACACCCUGAAGGCGGAGCCCCGGGUAGAGUGGCUGGCUCCCGGACCACCCAGCAGUCUGGAAGGAGACUCUCUGAGACCAGACUCCCGACCGACUGGCUCCUCCCACCUCCACACCUCCAGCCUGGUAUCAAGGCUGCUUUACAAUCAUCCUAUUCAGAGACACACAAUAAACAUUUGUAUGGUAAAGGAAACUGAUGCUGACUUCUGCAGAAAGACUUACAAAUGUAUUCUAACCCAGCGGGGUUCUCAGUUACCUUAAGCAUUGCACCCUAAAUUAUGUGUGUCUCUUAAGUAACCAUCAUUACCCCACCUCCACCCUGCAACUGUGUAGUGCCUUAGGGUAUCAGGCUAUCUCCCGAGUCUCCUCCGGAGUCUUCCUUUGUGUCUGUUUUCUUUCUCUCUGGAAAGCCUUUUCCCUCUCCACUCAUUUCCUGCCUGACACCAUCUGGUUGUUCUGGUCUCCAUUUAGAAGCCACGCCCUCUGAGAAGUCUUUCCCUGACAGCUGCCUGCAGCCCUGAGGCGGAAGACCUGCAGACCCUGUGUUUCUUGUAAUCACUACCUGCUCCAGUUGACUUUCUAAUGUACUACAUGUGAGUUCGGAGCGGCCAGCUGUUUAGCAACGGAGCCACUUCUCGGUGUUACCUCCCUUUGAAAUGUUGGAUUACCCAUGACGACUAUACAGAGCUCAGAACACUUCAGCCGUUGGGAAGUUCUAGGCUGGGGAUGCAGGGAUGCAGUUCACUCUGUAGGGGGCUUGCCGAGCAGGUACAAAACGUGGGGUUCAAUCCCUAGCCCCUCAUAACCCAGGCAUGGUGACACACACCUGCAAUCCCAGCCCUUGGGAGGUGGAGACUCUAGGAUCAGGGGGUUCAAAUUCAACCUCAAGUAUCUAUGGAGUUGGAAGCCAGCCUGAGUUACAAGAGGACCUGUACAGCUAUAACGGAGUCAAUGAGGUGGCUCAGCAGGUAAAGGCUCUGGAGGCCCCUGCUGCGUAGGCAUGGGGCUAUAAAUUCAAUCCUUAGAACCCACAAAAAGGCGGAGGGAGGGAGACAAGAGACUGCAUAAAGCUGUCCUCUGAACGCCACGUGUGUUUAUUUUAAAUAAUUAAAAUAAUUUAAAAUAAAUAAGGCUGGGCGCAGCGGCA
rnacentral:lncRNA from 1 species